rnacentral:tRNA from 1 species
CCUGGUAGCUCAGAUGGUAAAGCAUCUGCCUACAAUGCAGGAGACCUGGGUUCAAUCCCUGGGUCAGGA